GUGACUGCGUACCUUUUGUAUAAUGGGUCAGCGACUUAUAUUCUGUAGCAAGGUUAACCGUAUAGGGGAGCCGUAGGGAAACCGAGUCUUAACCGGGCGUUAAGUUGCAGGGUAUAGACCCGAAACCCGGUGAUCUAGCCAUGGGCAGGUUGAAGGUUGGGUAACACUAACUGGAGGACCGAACCGACUAAUGUUGAAAAAUUAGCGGAUGACCUGUGGCUGGGGGUGAAAGGCCAAUCAAACCGGGAGAUAGCUGGUUCUCCCCGAAAGCUAUUUAGGUAGCGCCUCGUGAAUUCAUCUCCGGGGGUAGAGCACUGUUUCGGCUAGGGGGCCAUCCCGGCUUACCAACCCGAUGCAAACUGCGAAUACCGGAGAAUGUUAUCACGGGAGACACACGGCGGGUGCUAACGUCCGUCGUGAAGAGGGAAACAACCCAGACCGCCAGCUAAGGUCCCAAAGUCAUGGUUAAGUGGGAAACGAUGUGGGAAGGCCCAGACAGCCAGGAUGUUGGCUUAGAAGCAGCCAUCAUUUAAAGAAAGCGUAAUAGCUCACUGGUCGAGUCGGCCUGCGCGGAAGAUGUAACGGGGCUAAACCAUGCACCGAAGCUGCGGCAGCGAACGUAUCACUUAAAGCGAUUCAGCGGGUUACGAUUGACGGAGCGAAGCGACGUCAAAGCGUAUACAAAGUCGAGUCGGUUUAAGGAUACGUUCGUUGGGUAGGGGAGCGUUCUGUAAGCCUG
rnacentral:rRNA from 1 species